GUCCUGAUAGUUCAACGGAUAGAAUACGUGGCUUCGAACCACGGGAUGGGGGUUCGAUUCCCUCUCGGGACACCA
rnacentral:tRNA from 1 species